GUAGGUGGCGAGCGUUAUCCGGAAUUACUGGGCGUAAAGCGCACGCAGGCGGCUCUUUAAGUCUGACGUGAAAGCUCCUGGCUUAACUGGGAGAGGUCGUUGGAAACUGAAGGGCUUGAGGCAAUGAGAGGGGUGUGGAAUUCCCGGUGUAGUGGUGGAAUGCGUAGAGAUCGGGGGGAACACCAGUGGCGAAAGCGGCACCCUGGCAUUGGCCUGACGCUCAGGUGCGAAAGCGUGGGGAGCGAACGGGAUUAGAUACCCCGGUAGUCCACGCUGUAAACGAUGAGCACUAGGUGUGGGUGGUGUGAAAACUAUCUGUGCCGAAGUCAACGCGCUAAGUGCUCCGCCUGGGGAGUACGGCCGCAAGGCUAAA
rnacentral:rRNA from 1 species